rnacentral:rRNA from 1 species
GAUGAACGCUGGCGGCGUGCCUAAUACAUGCAAGUCGAGCGAACAGACGAGGAGCUUGCUCCUCUGACGUUAGCGGCGGACGGGUGAGUAACACGUGGAUAACCUACCUAUAAGACUGGGAUAACUUCGGGAAACCGGAGCUAAUACCGGGUAACAUGUUGAACCGCAUGGUUCAACAGUGAAAGACGGUCUUGCUGUCACUUAUAGAUGGGUCCGCGCCGCAUUAGCUAGUUGGUAAGGUAACGGCUUACCAAGGCAACGAUGCGUAGCCGACCUGAGAGGGUGAUCGGCCACACUGGAACUGAGACACGGUCCAGACUCCUACGGGAGGCAGCAGUAGGGAAUCUUCCGCAAUGGGCGAAAGCCUGACGGAGCAACGCCGCGUGAGUGAAGAAGGUCUUCGGAUCGUAAAACUCUGUUAUUAGGGAAGAACAAAUGUGUAAGUAACUAUGCACGUCUUGACGGUACCUAAUCAGAAAGCCACGGCUAACUACGUG